rnacentral:rRNA from 1 species
AUGGAGAUUUUCAACCUCGCCCUUCUGGCGAAGCAAGCAUGGAGGUUACUUCAGGACCCGGACUCGCUCAGUGCGCGCAUACUAAAAUCCGUGUAUUACCCUUCCUCUGAUAUUUUGAUGGCCGGGGUAGGAUCACACCCGUCCACGAUAUGGCGCUCCAUAUGCGAGGGAAGGGACAUUCUCCGGACUGGUCUAAUUAAGCGGAUAGGUGAUGGUGAGGACACUGACAUAUGGAACGAAAAUUGGCUCCCACGGAACUACAACAUGCGGCCAUUGAGCACUGUUUCAGAUAACCCACCUACACGUGUAUCAGAAUUAAUAGUGCAUGCGGCCAGAACAUGGGAUGAAUCAUGUUUACAAGACCACUUCCUUCCCAUGGAUGCGGAUAUAAUCCGACAGAUUCCGAUUAGCUACAAGCAACAGAGAGAUUUCUAUGCAUGGCAGUACGAGCCGAAUGGAGUCUUUUCAGUACGGUCCUGCUACCGCCUAGUUUUAGAGACAAAACUCAGAAGAGAAAGUUGGCUCAAUGGGACGUCGGGCAACUCAGACACGGAGCAUCAGGAACGACAAUGGAAGGCACUUUGGGGGGUGAAAGUCCCGGCCAAGCUGCGGCUAUUCGCUUGGCGCCUAGCGCGGGCUUCACUGCCGACGGGUCAGGAGCGGCUUCGACGACAUAUGGCAGCUGAGGCGACGUGCCCAAUCUGUCAAGCGGCUGUGGAUUCAUGGCGACAUGCUUUACUGGACUGUAAUAUGUCCAAGAGUGUAUGGUCCUUGCGCGACGAUGAUUCUCUUCUUCCAAUCUAUGGCGACGAGACUACAGAUCCAAGGUUGUGGCUGUUUGGUUUGUGCAGUACUCUCAGCAGGGACAAAUUCAUCUCGGUUGUUGUUACGUUAUGGACUAUUUGGUGGGCUAGGAGAAAGGCCAUCCAUGAGCAUGAGAUGCAGAGUCCGCUGUCCACACACAUGUUUAUUGAGAAGUACUUGCAGGAGCUCAACGACCUCCAAGCAAAGACCCAAAGUACUAGAACUGCAAGAGCUCUGAAGGCGGGGCAUUUUUUGGCAUGGAUUCCACCGGCUGGGGGAGAGGUCAAACUGAAUGUUGACGGGGCUGUAGCAAAAUCAUCAAAUAUAGGUGCGGUUGGAGUUGUAUGCGGGAGUGAGACUGGUCUUUUCAUGAGUGCAUCGGUGGAAGUUUUCCAUGAAAUAACGGAACCAGCAACAUUGGAGGCAUAUGCAUGCAGGGAGGCCCUCGCACUAGCCGAGGACUUGGUCGUUCAUAAAGUGCGAAUUGCAUCGGACUGUUUGAGAGUCAUGAAUGACCUUAAGAGCCCGGGCUAUCUGGGUGAGUAUUGCAUGAUCUUGCAGGAGAUCAAUGAGAGAAAGCAAAAGUUUCAGAGUUGUGAGCUCGUCCAUGAACAACGUGCAAGCAAUGGUGAGGCACAUAGAUUAGCUAGAAUGGCCACUACCCUAGAUAUUGGCCGACAUGUGUGGCUCAUCGAUCCUCCGGAUCAUCUUUGUAUCCCCUAA